GAUGAACGCUGGCGGCGUGCCUAAUACAUGCAAGUCGAGCGAACGGACGAGAAGCUUGCUUCUCUGAUGUUAGCGGCGGACGGGUGAGUAACACGUGGAUAACCUACCUAUAAGACUGGGAUAACUUCGGGAAACCGGAGCUAAUACCGGAUAAUAUUUUGAACCGCAUGGUUCAAAAGUGAAAGACGGUCUUGCUGUCACUUAUAGAUGGAUCCGCGCUGCAUUAGCUAGUUGGUAAGGUAACGGCUUACCAAGGCAACGAUGCAUAGCCGACCUGAGAGGGUGAUCGGCCACACUGGAACUGAGACACGGUCCAGACUCCUACGGGAGGCAGCAGUAGGGAAUCUUCCGCAAUGGGCGAAAGCCUGACGGAGCAACGCCGCGUGAGUGAUGAAGGUCUUCGGAUCGUAAAACUCUGUUAUUAGGGAAGAACAUAUGUGUAAGUAACUGUGCACAUCUUGACGGUACCUAAUCAGAAAGCCACGGCUAACUACGUGCCAGCAGCCGCGGUAAUACGUAGGUGGCAAGCGUUAUCCGGAAUUAUUGGGCGUAAAGCGCGCGUAGGCGGUUUUUUAAGUCUGAUGUGAAAGCCCACGGCUCAACCGUGGAGGGUCAUUGGAAACUGGAAAACUUGAGUGCAGAAGAGGAAAGUGGAAUUCCAUGUGUAGCGGUGAAAUGCGCAGAGAUAUGGAGGAACACCAGUGGCGAAGGCGACUUUCUGGUCUGUAACUGACGCUGAUGUGCGAAAGCGUGGGGAUCAAACAGGAUUAGAUACCCUGGUAGUCCACGCCGUAAACGAUGAGUGCUAAGUGUUAGGGGGUUUCCGCCCCUUAGUGCUGCAGCUAACGCAUUAAGCACUCCGCCUGGGGAGUACGACCGCAAGGUUGAAACUCAAAGGAAUUGACGGGGACCCGCACAAGCGGUGGAACAUGUGGUUUAAUUCGAAGCAACGCGAAGAACCUUACCAAAUCUUGACAUCCUUUGACAACUCUAGAGAUAGAGCCUUCCCCUUCGGGGGACAAAGUGACAGGUGGUGCAUGGUUGUCGUCAGCUCGUGUCGUGAGAUGUUGGGUUAAGUCCCGCAACGAGCGCAACCCUUAAGCUUAGUUGCCAUCAUUAAGUUGGGCACUCUAAGUUGACUGCCGGUGACAAACCGGAGGAAGGUGGGGAUGACGUCAAAUCAUCAUGCCCCUUAUGAUUUGGGCUACACACGUGCUACAAUGGACAAUACAAAGGGCAGCGAAACCGCGAGGUCAAGCAAAUCCCAUAAAGUUGUUCUCAGUUCGGAUUGUAGUCUGCAACUCGACUACAUGAAGCUGGAAUCGCUAGUAAUCGUAGAUCAGCAUGCUACGGUGAAUACGUUCCCGGGUCU
rnacentral:rRNA from 1 species